UUUCUCUUUGUUUUCUACUUGGCUGUAGUAGUUGGAGGCUGUGGGAAUAUUACUAGCAGCACUCGGGAAGUGGGAAAGUGACAUUGCACGCCUCUGAGCAGUGACAGUCAUCUUGGAAAACCAUUUGUGCUGCACAGAGUGAAAACUCCCAGCAGCCCAUUUGAUGUGAAGUUGCAUAUGAAAAAAGAGAAGUAGAGCACAAGAAAUUAACUGGGUCAUUUUGGUUUGACCAACUCCAAACUGAGUUUGCCCAAAAGCCAAAGACGCAGUCAGUUUUCUCUUUAGAAGUGGGUUUUGUAAAAUAAAAAGUUCUAUUUGGUUACCAGGGAAUAAAGCUCUUCAAUGUAUACAAUUUCUCUAAAGCACUAGAGUUUAAGACAUGUUCAUGGAAUUUGAUAGUACAAUUGAAGAUGCUCAAAUCCCUUUGUACUUGUCUAGGUUUCUUUUUUUACUACGCACAGAAAGUGCUAGAGAUUUUUUCUUCUCCAAAGAUGAUGAACGCCUAAGAGAUAGUUGCCUAAUAGUAAUAUGGACUUGUAGAGUUUACCAAAAAUUUAGUCACUUGACAGGUUACCUAGACAUUUUGGAUCCUUUCAGGUAUGUAUAUCAUCUUUAACUUUUUCCUCUCUUUCUGGUGUUACCUUUAGAAAUGUUUAGUGUCCUUGUCAGCCACAUAUGUCCCUGUGGUUCCUUGUCCUAAUGAAUCUGGGGCUUUCUCAUCUGAAUCCAGUGAAUUUUGCAUUUAGAAACAAAGAAAACAACAACCAAGGGAAACACAGACGGUCCCCACAAACUGCACAGGCCCCCAAAACAAUUGCUGGUUAUGUUUGGUAGAAUAGAGUCUUAAGACAGGCUUAAAGGAUGUGCCUUUCUUGGACUGAUUAGAUAAUUCUGAUGAAGUGCACGGCUGUGUUCAUACAGUUACCAGCCUGCAAUCUUCCAGCCUGUCUGAUUUACAGGGUGUGUUGAAAUGGAGAGCUGAUUCCUCAGCAGGCCUCAGUUCUGGGGGAAGAUGCGGGGUGCUGGUGCUGAGCUUUUAAUGAAACAGCUGCAGUUUCACUGCAAUUUAGAUUGCAGCAUCUUGAGGAAAACUGCUGCUGCCUUUCAUUGCUCUUAGUACACCAGGCUGCAGUAGAGAACAUUUCUGCUGGAGCCAAGGUGUGGUGGGGGGCAGGAGAACAGGAAGGAUGUGAAGAAACGAUUUCUGACUUUAUUGCUGUUUUGUUUGUGAUUGUUAGAAGCAGCAGCACAAUCAGAAGUGUUUAAGCCCAUUAAUUGGUUGUUUCUUUUGUGCAGAGGGUCCAAAGGUAUUUUGUAGAUUAGAAGAGCUUAGUGAAGAAAUAGAGGGUCAGGAAGACAGACAUAGAUUAUUGCUUGAGGAUCAGCUACUCGACUUUAUGUAGUUUAGAGAUACAGUGAAUUUAGAGACUUCGCCUGAUAGUGGAUUCAGAAACUUCUCUGAAGACUUUCUUAGAUGUUCGUUAUUUUCUGGAACGCCAAAGGAAGCAUAAGGAUACCAAAUAGAAAGUGGAAGCAAAC